rnacentral:rRNA from 1 species
CCUACGGGAGGCAGCAGUGAGGAAUAUUGGGCAAUGGACGAGAGUCUGAACCAGCCAAGUAGCGUGAAGGAUGACUGCCCUAUGGGCGGUAAACUUCUUUUAUAUGGGAAAAAAACGUUCCACGUGUGGGGUUUUGUAUGUACCAUAUGAAUAAGGAUCGGCUAACUCCGUGCCAGCAGCCGCGGUAAUACGGAGGAUCCGAGCGUUAUCCGGAUUUGUUGGGUUUAAAGGGAGCGUAGGUGGAUUGUUAAGGCAGUUGUGAAAGUUUGCGGCUCAACCGUAACAUUGCAGUUGAAACUGGCAGACUUGAGUACAGUAGAGGUGAGCGGAAUUCGUGGUGUAGCGGUGAAAUGCUUAGAUAUCACGAAGAACUCCGAUUGCGAAGGCAGUUCACUGGACUGCAACUGACACUGAGGCUCGAAAGUGUGGGUAUCAAACAGGAUUAGAUACCCUAGUAGUC